rfam:Ictidomys tridecemlineatus contig069991, whole genome shotgun sequence.
GGGAUUGUGGCUCAGUGGUAGAGCGCUGGCCUAGCAUGCACAGGGCUCUGGGUUCGAUCCUCAGCACCA